AAGGAAAACAUUAUCCUUCAUCACUACACUCUUCAUCUUCCUCACUCCAUUCAUCAUAACCUCACCCGUUAAAAGACUCCUCCCUGGCUACAGCGUCGUACGUUUAAGCAUCAUAAAGACCAAUUAUUCAGAGAAGCAAAUUAUGGCUAUGAAACUUUUUGGAUUUCCACAUCAUUUCAUCUCAUAUAAACCUUCGUUUACAUUCCGCUUAUACACAUAAUUCACCAUUUUUAACAAAAAAAAAAGCUUCGAUACCGUGAAAUCUUCUGGCAAAGCUCCACCAGUCAGUUCUCCAGUUACCUCACUCCGGGAUGAGGAGAUCGCGGACGGCGACGGCGAGGAUAUUGGAGCAAGAGACGGUGUUGGGACAGGCGAGCUCGAGAGCGGUUUUGGGCGGAUCACAACGUCGAAUCUGUCUCUGGGAAGGAGAGGUUGAUGGGGUCAUCGCAUUCGGCGGCGUUGAAGUGGAGGAGACGAGGACGGAGGCGUCGCAGCCGUUGGGGAGUUUCGUUUCUUCCUCUCCUGCAAUCUCAAUUCUUCCGUACCGAGAAGCUCGAUGGAAUCCUCCCUGUCGAUAAAUCUACUGAGUCGGAGGACAAAAGACCAGAGCUUUACGUUGAGUGUGCAUUGUAUAUAGAUGGAGUUCCUUUUGGUCUUCCCAUGAGAACAAGGGCCACCAUACUGCUGAAACAAACUCAUCACUGUCUGGGAUACAGAACUUGGAAAGUUUAAUCCUUCAGAGCACAAACAACUAAAGCUUGCAAAGAGCUUGGAUCGUGGCAUUAUUGACAGGGAUCUCAAACCGAGUAAUAACGAGCGGAAAUCAAUACAAAGAGUUCUAAAAUAUCCACCAACGAGGACUUUGAGUGGAGAUGAAAGACAAAGUUUCUUCGCUCUGUGGAGUGGAGUGAUGUUCAGGAAGCAAAGCAUCACAUCCCUUCAGCGCAUUGUAAGUUUUUCUGUAGAAUGUAUAUGCCAAAUUUGUGGAUGAAAGGUAUGUGUAGCUUCGUUUACUCUUGAACGUCUUCUUCAUGGUUUACUCUUAUAGGAUGUUUCAAACAAUGUUGGCUUACUUUCUGAUGAUGGCAAGAGAUUUUACAAACCAAAGUGUUUCUUAAUUUUUUUUGAUUUUUUUAAUAUGUUUUAUAUAAUAAAUAAAUUUUAUCUUAAAUAAAACAAUGUUUAAUUUUUUUUAAGAACUCCUAAAUAAGAUACUUGCAUUGGAGGACAAAAUUUAGAGGUUGCUUAAAAAAAGUGCUUAACACCCAUUUAUUACUAAAAAAAUGAUUAAGAGCUCCAUUAGGGAUGCUAGGGUUAAUGGUGCUCUUAGAGCCUGUGACUAAAAAUCUUUCUAUAAGGCAAGAAGAGCAAGCAAAAAAAAAUUGGCGCAAAAUCAAGGUACGCAAACAAAACACCUGAAUAUCCUUUAAAAUGAUCUUCCAAGUAAUUUUUUAACUCAAGAUUGUUUGGUUUGGUGCUUCACUCGAAAGCCAUUUCUUGGUCUCCUUAUGUUAACGAUCUUGCUUCUGGUGAUUGGACUCCUGAUUGAUGCAUACAGUUUUUCGAAUAGGAAGACAACUUACGUAGAUACUCAUGUAAAUUUCUUAUUAAGCUUUGCCAUGAUUUCAAGUGAAAUAACCAAAUUUUAUAACCGUCUUUGUUCUUGCACAUCACAAAUAUGCAAUUUUCACCCCAAAAGUCAAAUUCUUUUUUUUUCUGAUUAGCACGUACGAUGCUCCCACAACCAAAUCAUAUACUGUAAAUACUUCACCAUCUCCAAAAUUGCAACUCUAACAUGUCACACAUACAGAGUUAUGUACGUUGCGGUCUCACCUGACGGACAAACGAUUGUAACCGGAGCAGGAGAUGAAACCGUAAGGUUCUGGAAUGUCUUCCCGUCCAUGAAAACUCAGAACGAGGCAUUGCGGUCGGAUCAGCGCAGCGGAUUUGGCAGGACAGCAUCAGCGUUCUCAUCGGCCCCACUAGACGCUCCCACUGCCGAUCACCAGGUUCGCCUCUAUUCCUUAAAAAUAACUCGAAUAAGCAGUCAAUUGAAACUCCUUCAGAAGCUUUUGUGUCUCCCUCUCUAUAUGAACUUGAAGGGGAGAGAGCUGGUGUACCUGUUACGAGUCGUCUUUUUGAGGCCAUGCACACAUGUAAAUGUUUAGAUGGUUAACCUUUAGAGUCCUUAAUCCAAUCUAUGUUUCUGACAUGUUGAACUUGGUGAGGAGGCAUUGUUUCCCCGUGUACUGGAAUGGAGAUAAUUGGUGUGUGCCUAGAGGCCAGAAACAUUAAACAGUUGGAGAUUGCAUAUCGUAACAAGGUCUGGUGCAGAAGGAGGUUUUAACCCUCUAGGCUUUUUGCAGGUUCCAUGUAUAAAUGAGUUAUGUAUAAAGAAAGUAAUAUUCUUUUCAGCUGAAUGAUUGCAUAGAUAAUAAUAAUAAUGUCCUAAGUUGCCAAUGUAGGAUUUGAUGUGGAUCUCUCUUAGAUUGGCUUAAUGUGGAUCUCUCUUAGCUCCCA